CCAAACUUGGUCAUUUAGAGGAAGUAAAAGUCGUAACAAGGUUUCCGUAGGUGAACCUGCGGAAGGAUCAUUAACGAGUUUGGGUCUUCCAGGCCCGACCUCCCAACCCUGUGUCUACUUAACCUGUGUUGCUUCGGCGGGCCCGUCCUCGGACCGCCGGGGGCACCCCCCAGGGGGUCCCUCUGGCCCGCGCCUGCCGGUGGCCUCGACUACCAAAAUCUUCGGAAUACAUCGUGUCCUGUCUGAGUAUCAAUGUUUAAAUACAAGCAAAAACUUUCAACAACGGAUCUCUUGGUUCUGGCAUCGAUGAAGAACGCAGC
rnacentral:misc_RNA from 1 species